rnacentral:rRNA from 1 species
AUUGAACGCUGGCGGCAGGCUUAACACAUGCAAGUCGAGCGGAGAUGAGGUGCUUGCACCUUAUCUUAGCGGCGGACGGGUGAGUAAUGCUUAGGAAUCUGCCUAUUAGUGGGGGACAACAUUCCGAAAGGAAUGCUAAUACCGCAUACGCCCUACGGGGGAAAGCAGGGGAUCUUCGGACCUUGCGCUAAUAGAUGAGCCUAAGUCGGAUUAGCUAGUUGGUGGGGUAAAGGCCUACCAAGGCGACGAUCUGUAGCGGGUCUGAGAGGAUGAUCCGCCACACUGGGACUGAGACACGGCCCAGACUCCUACGGGAGGCAGCAGUGGGGAAUAUUGGACAAUGGGCGGAAGCCUGAUUCAGCCAUGCCGCGUGUGUGAAGAAGGCCUUUUGGUUGUAAAGCACUUUAAGUUGGGAGGAAGGGCAGUAAGUUAAUACCUUGCUGUUUUGACGUUACCGACAGAAUAAGCACCGGCUAACUCUGUGCCAGCCGCCGCGGUAACAC